ACAUAGACGAGGAUUGAUCGUAUUGCAGCCCCCUAUUCACAUUACCUCAAAGUGCCUUUAACCGGCGCAGAGGUGCGAAGAUAAAAUUGUCUGACGCUUUAAUCCACGCCGGAGGGGUUGGAAAAGAAAGAGGCAGAAAUGGUCCUAAAAGAACCGAAAAUCCACACAAUAGCUGUGGGAAUCUGGUCAGAGUUACUCAUUGCGGGCUCUUCCCUGGAAAUCCGUCAAUUAGAAAUAAGAGCAUUAUUAAACGGAACUGGCGGAUUUCUUUAAAGAUUUGGCCGAUGUUCUAAUUCAACACGUAUGAAACAUUGUAAUCAACACCAUUGACAUAAACUGCUUGGAGAUAUCCGGCUGUUAAAACUUAAAUAUUUUGUAAAGCUACUUGAGUGACGUCUGUGAAAGUGAGCUUGAAAAUCGGAUAUCUUGAGGUAAUUUUCAUUCGUCUAAGAUUCGUCCUGAGAUAAUUACUUUUAAUGUCAAAAAGAUUCAGUUUAAUAUCAUCUCUAUUAGACUCUUGGCUAGGUAAUUAAAGGUGCAGAUUAAACCAGCGGGAAACAGAUGGCAUUUACUUACACUGAUUCAUUCAGUAAACAAUGAAAAAGUCAAUGGAACAGCCCUGGAACAAAUGAAACCUUAAAGACCACUUACAUUAGCAGGUACAUGAGGACUGUCAUCUGUCAAAAGGAGAGAGAGAACAGAUAAUAAACACAAGGGUAGAUCCAGAUAAAAAGUACUCGGAUAAGCAAGAAUAUUGGGCAAUUUUGUUGCCCAAUUAACAGCCUAAAGCGAGAAUAUUUGCUGGAAUAGGAAUACGUUUCAAAGGAUAAGUACGUAAUUUGACUAAAAUCAAACAAUGUACAUGUGUCAGUGAGCUGUCAGUGCAUUUGAAAGAGUACAUUUAGUAGAUGCUUUGUUGAACAGAUACCAACACGCGAAUUUACCGUUUAUAAUAGAAAGAGCAGAAAACAGGAUACAAUAAAUACCGAUAACGAAGUUUGAAUGUUGUAAAGAAACCGACUUCCAACCUAACGCCUGACUCAAUGUAGACGCUACUGCGCCUUUCUAUGUUUCUGCUUUUUACAAUUACAACUGCGGUCACCGGCACCACCAAAAGUGGUCAAUACCGUUUCAGUUAAACUAGACGAACGUUACAUCUCUGAAAUGAAUACACACACACACACGUUUUAUUUUUCCGUAGGAAGAUUGGUUUGAAAAUAAGUUGUACAUUUUGAUGAUUUUAUAUUUGGUUGCUUUUAGUUUUAACGACCGCGAACAACGAAUUAUCAUAUUUGAUGGCACAUACAAAAAGGCAUUUGUUGGAGAUUUACAAAUGAAUCAAUAUUCAGCAGGUCGGGUCGCAUCUGUGGGAGAGAAACAGAGUUUAACGUUUCAGGUCGACGACCCUUCAGGAGAAGGGUUACAUGCUGAUGAAGGGUCCUCGACCUGAAACCUUUCCAGCGCUUCCUGUGUUAUUAUCGUUUUUGUAAUGUUUGUCAAUACAUCAUUCUCUGUCUAUUAUAUCUGUAAACAGUCUAAUGCAGAACCGAAAUAGAUAACUACUGACAAUUAUAUAGUUCACCGAUAGCCACAGGUCGCCUAAUGGUUGAAACUGAUUCAAUUGUAUGUUUGCGAUUCAGCCAAUAUUUGGUAACGUUGACUUGACUUCCCCGUUUGGUGAAAUGAUGAUUACAUUUUAUAACAAGCACAAUGUUCAGAUAAAUGCAGUUAAAAAAUUUAACAUGAAAACUUUAACAAAGCACUACGCUUACAUUGUUACUGACUUCCGGUUAAAGAUUAUUUACAUGGAUACACUCUCAUCUCUGAACUAAUUGACUGUUUGAUUUUCGCCAAAGUCAAUGAGUAUUGAACUGAAAUGAAAGUCAAAACCGGGAGUUGUGUUACAACAAUUAUUUUCAACUGAUCAAUGAAAACCCUUUAAUCUCUUCAUUGUUUUAAUAAUUUCUUAAAACCCAUUUAGUUCAAUGGACGUAAGUGUUUAGCUUAUGUAGUCCUGAGCCUGUUUGGUAAAGGGUUAAGUUCGGUGAUAAGUUAUUUGCAACCUUCUUUUUCUCUUCACAGGUGCUGACUGUCCGGUUGUGUAUUUCCAUAAUUUUCUCUUCAAUUAAUGUUUUAAUGAAUCCAUUUAUUCAAGCGUUACCAAUUAUUAAGGCCACUGUGCUUUUUUU